rnacentral:rRNA from 1 species
UACAGAGGUCUCGAGCGUUGUUCGGAUUCAUUGGGCGUAAAGGGUGCGUAGGUGGCGCUGUAAGUCGGGUGUGAAAUCCUGAGGCUUAACCUCGGAACUGCAUUCGAUACUGCGGUGCUUGAGGACUGGAGAGGAGACUGGAAUUCCCGGUGUAGCGGUGAAAUGCGUAGAGAUCGGGAGGAACACCCGUGGCGAAGGCGGCCAUCUGGACCAGCACUGACGCUGAGGCACGAAAGCGUGGGGAGCAAACAGG